rnacentral:rRNA from 1 species
CAGCCGCCGCGGUAAUACAGAGGGUGCGAGCGUUAAUCGGAUUUACUGGGCGUAAAGCGUGCGUAGGCGGCUUUUUAAGUCGGAUGUGAAAUCCCUGAGCUUAACUUAGGAAUUGCAUUCGAUACUGGGAAGCUAGAGUAUGGGAGAGGAUGGUAGAAUUCCAGGUGUAGCGGUGAAAUGCGUAGAGAUCUAGAGGAAUACCGAUGGCGAAGGCAGCCAUCUGGCCUAAUACUGACGCUGAGGUACGAAAGCAUGGGGAGCAAACAGGAUUAGAUACCCCUGUAGUCCCUGUCUCUUAUAC